UACGGGGGGAGCAAGCGUUGUUCGGAUUUACUGGGCGUAAAGGGCGCGUAGGCGGACAGUUUAGUCAGAGGUGAAAGCCCAGGGCUCAACCUUGGAAUAGCCUUUGAUACUGGCUGUCUUGAGUUCGGGAGAGGUGAGUGGAAUGCCGAGUGUAGAGGUGAAAUUCGUAGAUAUUCGGCGGAACACCAGUGGCGAAGGCGACUCACUGGCCCGAUACUGACGCUGAGGCGCGAAAGCGUGGGGAGCAAACAGG
rnacentral:rRNA from 1 species